CAAAAAAGCAACCUAAUACUCCCGUCAGUCCCCUUAAAUAGGGCUAAUCCCUUAUCGUUCAUUGGUGUUUCCAGGGGGUGUCUUCCUUUUCAUUCUUCCUAUUGGUGGUUCUUGGGUUAGUUUCACCUGUCCCUGGUCGAGGAUGAUGAGUGUUGUAGUCUCAGCUGUUCAAUAUUCUGAAAUCGUUGAAAACUGGAAGUGAAG